rnacentral:ncRNA from 1 species
AGGAGCCGUAUGAGAUGAAAACCUCAUGUACGGUUUUGGAACGGAGAUUUUUUGAAUAGAAUGAACGACCGUGAC